CCCGGCGCAGCUGGUCCUGUCAUUACCGUUUGACGGGAGGGUGACAGGUGCCCCCGGUCGCCGCCCAGCGGGAGUUUUGCUUAACUUGUAGAGGUGAUCCUUGCUCCAGCCCCUCCAGCUGAUAGAUUUGUUUAGAAGGGGUGGAUGCUGGCUGCAGCAAUCAGUGUCUUUUCUUCAAGAUGCCCCCACGGCUUGCCUUGCUAGUGGAGCAGGGAUUCUCUAUUUGAAAGCUGAAGAAACACGCUGAGGCUUUGUCUACACUGAGAAAAUUUCAUGGUAUCUGCAGAUUCAGGAAGACAGCACUGCAUCAAUUGUAUUCCAUUCACAUUUGGAAUUCUUCACAACGAUGAGGACUAGAAACUCACUUUUUAAAAUACACCACCACCACUCAGUGACUGAAGUGCUGAUCAAAGGAGAGAGCCUGACUGAAAAGUAAGCAGAUGCUUCUCACCCCAGGCUGACUAAGUUUGUAAGGAC